AACGAACGCUGGCGGCAUGCCUAACACAUGCAAGUCGAACGAGACCUUCGGGUCUAGUGGCGCACGGGUGCGUAACGCGUGGGAAUCUGCCCUUCGGUUGGGAAUAACUGAGAGAAAUUUCAGCUAAUACCUUAUAAUGUCUUCGGACCAAAGAUUUAUCGCCGAGGGAUGAGCCCGCGUAGGAUUAGGUAGUUGGUGGGGUAAUGGCCUACCAAGCCGACGAUCCUUAGCUGGUCUGAGAGGAUGAUCAGCCACACUGGGACUGAGACACGGCCCAGACUCCUACGGGAGGCAGCAGUGGGGAAUAUUGGACAAUGGGCGAAAGCCUGAUCCAGCGAUGCCGCGUGAGUGAUGAAGGCCUUAGGGUUGUAAAGCUCUUUUACCCGGGAUGAUAAUGACAGUACCGGGAGAAUAAGCUCCGGCUAACUCCGUG
rnacentral:rRNA from 1 species